rnacentral:rRNA from 1 species
AGUUUCGAAUCAUUCACAAUGGGCGAAAGCCUGAUGGUGCGACGCCGCGUGGGGGACGAAGGUCUUCGGAUUGUAAACCCCUGUCACUGGGGAAAAAACACCUCCUGUUAACAGCAGGCGGUCUGAUUUAACCCGGAGAGGAAGCAGUGGCUAACUCUGUGCCAGCAGCCGCGGUAAUACAGAGACUGCAAGCGUUGUUCGGAUUCACUGGGCGUAAAGGGUGCGCAGGCGGCCGGAUGUGUCGGGUGUGAAAGCUCGAGGCUCAACCUCGAAACUGCGCCCGAAACUAUUCAGCUAGAGUGCUGGAGAGGGAAGUGGAAUUCACGGUGUAGCAGUGAAAUGCGUAGAUAUCGUGAGGAACACCAAUGGCGAAGGCAACUUCCUAGACAGCUACUGACGCUCAGGCACGAAAGCGUGGGGAGCAAA